GUCCCAGUUCGGAUUGCAGCCUGCAACUCGGCUGCAUGAAGCUGGAAUCGCUAGUAAUCGCGGAUCAGAAUGCCGCGGUGAAUACGUUCCCGGGUCUUGUACACACCGCCCGUCACACCAUGGGAGUAGGUAAUGCCCGAAGUCGGUGACCUAACCGGAAGGAAGGAGCCGCCGAAGGCAGGACUUAUAACUGGGGUGAAGUCGUAACAAGGUAAC
rnacentral:rRNA from 1 species